CCAAUAGCGUAUAUUAAAGUUGUUGCAGUUAAAAAGCUCGUAGUUGAAUUUCGGGGUUAGUAGAUUGGUCAUGCCACUGGUAUGUACUGGUCUUACUGAUUCCUCCUUCCUGAUGAACCGUAAUGCCAUUAAUUUGGUGUUGCGGGGAGACUGGACUGUUACUUUGAAAAAAUUAGAGUGUUUAAAGCAGGCUAACGCUUGAAUACAUUAGCAUGGAAUAAUGAAAUAGGACGUUCGAUCCUAUUUUGUUGGUUUCUAGGAUUGACGUAAUGAUUAAUCGGGAUAGUUGGGGGCAUUAGUAUUCAAUUGUCAGAGGUGAAAUUCUUGGAUUUAUUGAAGACUAACUACUGCGAAAGCAUUUGCCAAGGAUGUUUUCAUUAAUCAAGAACGAAAGUUAGGGGAUCGAAGACGAUCAGAUACCGUCGUAGUCUUAACCAUAAACUAUGCCGACUAGGGAUCGGAUGAUGUUAAUUUUUUAAUGACUCAUUCGGCGCCUUACG
rnacentral:rRNA from 1 species